UUUUAUAUGCAUUUUAUUAAAACCAAAUAAAAACAUAAUUUAAUAUUUAAAUAUUAACGCAAUAAAUUACUAUUAAAAGUUAAGAUUUAACUUAAAAUUUAAUUAUAUUAUUUAAAUAUAUAUAAAUAUUUAAAAUUAAAAAUAAACACUAUUAAUAUAUAAAAUUAAAAAUUAAAGAAAUUUAAAAUUUAGAAAUUAAUAAAUAGUUAGUAAAAUAUGUGCCAGCAACUGCGGUUAAACAUAUAACUUAAUUAAAUUUUUUAAUUAUUAAUUAAAUUUACAAAUAAUAUAAAAUAUUAUAUUUAAAAGUCAAAUUUAAAAUAUAAUAUUAAAUAAAUUAUUUUAAUUAAAAUUAAAUAAAUUUCGUAUUAAACUAGGAUUAGAGACCCUAUUAUUAUAAUCAAAAAUAAUAAUUUAUUAUUAAAUGAUUUAUCAUUAAAAUUAACAAUCAUGGCUGUAUUUAAUUUAAAUUAGGGGAACCUACUAAUAAUAGUAGAUACACAAAAUAAAAAACUUAAUUUUAAAUUUAGUGUAUUGUCGUUUUAAAUUUUAUUACAUAUAAAUUAAAAUAUAAUAAUAAUAUAUUAAUAUAAUUAUUAAUAAUCCAGAUCAUAAUACUAUUAUAAUUAAGAAAAAGGUAGGUUACAAUAUAAUUAAUUUACUUAUAUAAAUAUAUAAAUAUAUGAAAUUUUAUAUAAAUUUAGGAUUUAAUAGUAAAUUUAUUAAAUUAAAUAAAUUGAAUUGUUUAAUAAAUGAGUACAAAUAGCCCGUCAUUUUCAUUUAUACAAUGAGACAAGUCGUAACAUAGUAAAAGUACUAGAAAGUGCCUUUAGA
rnacentral:rRNA from 1 species